rnacentral:lncRNA from 1 species
GAUGUUUCUGCUGGUUGUAUUAGUCCAACCUACGAAUCUCACAAAAUUUUAAACUCAGUCAUUCAAACAGGCCCUAAGUGGGUUGGCUCAAAUCUCAUAGAAAGAAAAGAAAGAUCUUAUGAGAUUCGGAUUAGCCCAUUUAAAAAAUAAUCCUAGAUAUUUAUAAAUAUAGGUGUAUCCUAGUUUAUAAUAUAAUAUUUUUAUUGAUUGUAUUAGUCCAACCC